ensembl:lncRNA
UAUCAACCGGCAUAAGAGAAUUGGAUAGCUUACGUUCACUGCCGUUUUGAUGCUGUUCAGCUCUUCAGUAUCCAGUAACUGAGUAAUGAUCCAGACUUUGGAGUAGAGCAUCCAGUGACCCCCCCCUUAACCUCCAGUACCCCACUAAGAGAGAGCUUUCCACGGGUCCAUUCUCCACAGCCGCAGAACACCCUCACUUUGACUUUCAUGAUAAAGCUGAGAAAACAAUGGAACCGUUUCAGCUUGAGCGUCAGUCCAGAGCUGCCUUCUGAGUAACAGGCUGUCCAACAGUCGGAGGGAAGGACAGUAUGGAUGAGAGUGAACUCGUCUUUCUGGGAAGCCAUGACGACGGCCCUGCUGUGGCCUUCUCCAAAGAGAAGGCUGGACAGGUCAGGGAGGUCAGGGAGGUCAGGGACCGCUGGCCUGGCUCAGGCAUGGGACUAGGUUUGGGGCUGGAGCCAAAUGAGGGACAAUGCUCCUCAGGCUUCCACGCCUCGCACUCCCCCUCCUCCCCAGAUACGCUGGCUAACCUGGCCAUGGCCUCGUCACCACACCCCGGCCUGGUGAAGUCCACCUCCACAGAGCUGGAGAGCAAAGAGGCAGAAUCCUUACUAGGCACCAAGCCCUUACUUAGCCUGGUCAAGUCCCUCUCCACCGAGAUCUCCCGUCGUGAGCCUGAUAUCUACCUGUCCAAGUCUGACUCAAAGCUUCACAUGCCACCCUGGAAGCAGUUCAACCAGCC